GGAGGCAGGGGCGGCCCCGCGGCUGGGCGCGGAAGGGCGGGGCCUCUCCACACUCAGCAGUUUACAAAAAGAAAAAGCCCGAGGUCGUGCGUUGGGGAAGAGAUGAAAACGAAGUUCUCGAAGUUUCUGCAGCACUGCUAGAGCGCGUCAGGGCGCAAGGCUGGGAGGCGGCUCGCGUUCCCGGUGGGGUUACCAAACUCUGGUUACAGCUUCCUAAUCUUUGUGUUGAGACCCCCUUGCAAGCCUUCUGGAAAUUAAUGCAUCUGGGCGAUUUCCGGGGCCUCCGAACUCGCUGAAGCCCAUCCCCAAACCUCCCGAGAUGAGUGGAUUCCAGGGUGGGCUCUGCUCAAUGCCCACCGCCUAUGCCCAGCACUGCUACAACCCCUUCGUGAUCUCUCAGGCUUAUGACAUCACUGUCUCCGUACACAGAUGACCCACCCUCCUGCUUUGCUAAUAAGAUCCAGCCCAUCUUCAAGCUCCUCUGCCCAGAAAGGGAAACGUUAAAACAAAAACAGAAACAUCUAAGAAGGCACUUGCAAGUUAAGCAGCAAGAGAGAAAGUAAAGUCCCAGAUGGCCUGCAGUGGGGCAGGAGGGAGAAGGUGGAAAGCCUGCCCAGAAGAAUUGAUCCUUUGUCACCAAACACAGCCCCUGCAUCCACAUCCUCAUUGACAGGUCUGCUGCAUUUUACCAGUUCUGUCUGUCUGCCAUUUACCCCUGAAGUUCUACAUAUUCUACGUCUCUUGCCUUAUGUCCCUUCUGUCUCUCUGGAUGGGUCUUCUUCUCCUGCUGUAUUUCCUCAAAAGUCUGCCCUUAGUCACCAUCCAUUUGUCACCAUGUUAUCCCUCAGCAUAGACAACCACACAUGGCUUUAUCUCCAUGUGGACAACUUUUGACUAUUAUUUUCAGCCCUUUCUUCUUUUAUGAAUACUAUCUCUGGCCUUUGAGCAGCUUUUGGAUAUUUCCUCAUGAAAGUCCUAUUGUUUGGACUAUCUUUGGAACGUCUUCCAAUUCAACCUAUUUAAAAUAAGCAUACUAUCUCUCUUCCUAAAUCAUUAUUUCCCACAGAAAGACCACCAUUUUUCUAGCCACUUGAUU